GAGGGUCCGAGCCGUAAUUGCUGCCAUCUGCUCCCUCCCCUCCCCCGCGCCCCCGCCUGGGGGAGGGGCCGGGGCGCGCGCCGCACGCCUCUCCGACGCGCGCGCCCAGCGCCCGGGGGCGGGAGCUCGGAGUGCCCCGCGAGCCCCCCGGGGGCCAAGUGCUGGGGGGCCCCGAGAGCGCGCCCGCCUCCUCUCUCGGGCAGGGGCUGAGGGGCCCGAGCUGGAGGCACACCGUUUUGGCAGCGUUCGGGUUCUGCCCCUCGCCGGGUAGGGACCCCCGAAGGCUCCCGGGGGCCGACCCGCCUCAACUCACGCACGCGACGUCCGCACGGGUCCGUGCCUCACGCCGGCGCUGGGACCUCGACGCUUCGAUCUCUGUGCGCACGGGAUGCGGUGACUGUGGGCGCGGAGGGGGGGACCCAAGGGGCUCAGAUGCCCAGACAUUCCCCCCACCGAGCUGAUGGCCCAUUCCUCCCCGCAGCUCUAAAAUGGUGUGUGUGUCCAAAACACACGUAACACGAAUAUCUGUGCAACUGCUGCAGGGUUGCUGGGAAGCUACUGGAAGUUUUGUCAGGAGGGAAAUGAUCUGAAUCCCGGGCUUAGGUGUUCGGAUGCCCACUCGGGGGCAGUAUGGAGGAAUGGCCUGAAUUUGGAUCUUGUUCAGGGAUCCACCUCUCGAGGAAUAUAACUGCAUGCCCACGCCAGGAGUAAAUUACAUCAACGUACAUCAAUCCUAGUAACCCUGUCCCCCUGACCAGGGGCUAGUUUAAGCAUGAAGACAGUGGAAGAAUCUGAUUGUGGCCACCUAACACCCAUUCUCCUGUCUUCUUCCUCAGCAAUAAAGAGUCAAAUCUUAUUUUGGAUGGCAAAGUACCCAGCUAAAAAAUAUUUCUAGCUUUUCUUGCAGCUAGAUGUGGCCAUGUGACCAACUUCGGACCAAUAAGACAAGUAGAAAUGUUCUGUGGGACAUCUGAGAAGGUUGCCCAAAGGAGCUGACGCUGCUGAGGAACAACCUUUCAUUCUUCUGCUUUUGCCCCUUCUGGUCUACAGUCUGGAUGGCAGGAUCCAUACUGGAUCUGAUGGCUGGAACUCCAGCAGCGCUUUUGCAACAUGAGGCAAAUCUGAGAAUGACAUCACAUGAGAUGGGGGCACCUGAGUUCCUGGUGACACCGAAACUGUGGAGCCAGCACAAUAGCACUGUCUAUAUUCAGACUUCUUAUGUGAGAAGGAAUAAUCUUAAAUCUUGUUUAUUUUUUUAAAAGAUUUAUUUAUUUAAGAGAGAGAGAGAGAGAAGG